rnacentral:rRNA from 1 species
AAUACCGCAUAAGCGCACAGAGCUGCAUGGCUCAGUGUGAAAAACUCCGGUGGUAUAAGAUGGACCCGCGUUGGAUUAGCUGGUUGGUGAGGUAACGGCCCACCAAGGCGACGAUCCAUAGCCGGCCUGAGAGGGUGAACGGCCACAUUGGGACUGAGACACGGCCCAGACUCCUACGGGAGGCAGCAGUGGGGAAUAUUGCACAAUGGGGGAAACCCUGAUGCAGCGACGCCGCGUGGAGGAAGAAGUAUCUCGGUAUGUAAACUUCUAUCAGCGGGGAAGAAAAUGACGGUACCUGACUAAGAAGCCCCGGCUAACUACGUGCCAGCAGCCGCGGUAAUACGUAGGGGGCAAGCGUUAUCCGGAUUUACUGGGUGUAAAGGGAGCGUAGACGGAUGGACAAGUCUGAUGUGAAAGGCUGGGGCUCAACCCCGGGACUGCAUUGGAAACUGCCCGUCUUGAGCGCCGGAGAGGUAAGCGGAAUUCCUAGUGUAGCGGUGAAAUGCGUAGAUAUUAGGAGGAA